rnacentral:tRNA from 1 species
GACUUGGUGGCACAAUGGUAGGGCAUCUCACCCCAGCUCAGAAGGCUGCGAGUUCAAAUCACGUCCGGAUCA